GAUUAAAUGGCUGAAGUUUAGGCAAUAGAUUGUAAAUCUAUUUAUGAAGAUUUUCUUCUUUAAUCA
rnacentral:tRNA from 1 species